rnacentral:rRNA from 1 species
AUUGAACGCUGGCGGCAGGCCUAACACAUGCAAGUCGAGCGAGCGGCGGACGGGUGAGUCAUGUAUGGGGACUGCCCGAUAGAGGGGGAUAACUACUGGAAACGGUGGCUAAUACCGCAUACAGUCGGAUAACCGAUAUGGGAUUAGCUAGUAGGUAAGGUAAUGGUUGACCUAGGCCACGAUCCCUAGCUGGUCGGAGAGGAUGAUCAGCCACACUGGAACUGAUACACGGCCCAGACUCCUACGGAGGCAGCAGUGGGGAAUAUUGCACAAUGGGCGCAAGCCUGAUGCAGCCAUGCCGCGUGUAUGAAGAAGGCCCUAGGGUUGUAAAGUACUUUCAGUCGGGAGGCGUUACCGACAGAAGAAGCACCGGCUAACUCCGUGCCAGCAGCCGCGGUAAUUC